UACGGGGGGGGCAAGCGUUGUUCGGAAUUACUGGGCGUAAAGGGCUCGUAGGUGGCCAACUAAGUCAGACGUGAAAUCCCUCAGCUUAACUGGGGAACUGCGUCUGAUACUGGAUGGCUUGAGUUUGGGAGAGGGAUGCGGAAUUCCAGGUGUAGCGGUGAAAUGCGUAGAUAUCUGGAGGAACACCGGUGGCGAAGGCGGCAUCCUGGACCAACACUGACACUGAUGAGCGAAAGCCAGAGGAGCAAACGGG
rnacentral:rRNA from 1 species